GGGGAAUAUUGCGCAAUGGGGGGAACCCUGACGCAGCGACGCCGCGUGAGCGACGAAGGCCUUCGGGUCGUAAAGCUCUGUUCUUGGGGACGAAGGAUAUGACGGUACCCAAGGAGAAAGCCCCGGCUAACUACGUGCCAGCAGCCGCGGUAAUACGGAGGGGGCGAGCGUUGUCCGGAAUUACUGGGCGUAAAGGGCGUGUAGGCGGCUGUGUAUGUCAGGUGUGAAAAGCCAGAGCUUAACUGUGGCAUUGCACAUGAAACUGCGCAGCUUGAGUGCAGGAGAGGGAAGUGGAAUUCCUAGUGUAGCGGUGAAAUGCGUAGAUAUUAGGAGGAACACCAGUGGCGAAGGCGACUUCCUGGACUGUAACUGACGCUGAGGCGCGAAAGCGUGGGUAGCGAAC
rnacentral:rRNA from 1 species